rnacentral:lncRNA from 1 species
AACAGAAUAGUUAGCUGUGCAAAGAUCGUGGGGUAGCUACCUACAUAGUAAUGAGCUAGAAUAUAGCUGGAAGACAGUUAUUAUUGAGUUGGAUGAUAGUUGCCAGACAACUGCCUAUACUUUUGGGGGCACAUCAAUGAAAUACCAAUGUGCAAUAGUAGAGAUCAGUGAUUGUCUGAACUAAAUAUCAUGCUUUUGGUGUUGACAAUCAUGUCAGCUAAAUACCAAGGUAAGGUGCUAC